rnacentral:tRNA from 1 species
GAGGGUAUAGCUCAACUGGGUAGAGCACAUGCUUAGCACACACAAAGUCCUGGGUUCAAUCCCCAGUACCUCCU